CCACCGCGGUUAGACGAGAGGCCCCAGUUGAUAUUAUAAACGGCGUAAAGGGUGGUUAGGGGCAAACAAAAUAAAGCCAAAUGGCCCCUCGGCCGUCAUACGCUUCUAGGUGUCCGAAGCCCUAACACGAAAGUAGCUUUAAUAUACCAACCCGACCCCACGAAAGCUGAGAAACAAACUGGGAUUAGAUACCCCACUAUGCUCAGCCGUAAACUUAGACAUCCAACUACAAUUAGAUGUCCGCCAGGGUACUACGAGCAUUAGCUUAAAACCCAAAGGACCUGACGGUGUCUCAGACCCCCCUAGAGGAGCCUGUUCUAGAACCGAUAACCCCCGUUUAACCUCACCACUUCUAGCCACCCCAGCCUAUAUACCGCCGUCGUCAGCUUACCCUGUGAAGGACAUAAAAGUAAGCAAAAUGAGUAUAACCCAGAACGUCAGGUCGAGGUGUAGCGCAUGAAAUGGAAAGAAAUGGGCUACAUUUUCUACCACAGAAUAUUACGAACAUGUACCAUGAAAUAGUGCUUGAAGGAGGAUUUAGUAGUAAAAGGGAAAUAGAGUGUCCCUUUGAACCCGGCUCUGAGACGCGUACACACCGCCCGUCACUCUCCCCUGUCAAAACGCAUUAAAAAUACUUAAUACAAAAGCACUGACAAGGGGAGGCAAGUCGUAACACG
rnacentral:rRNA from 1 species